rnacentral:lncRNA from 1 species
AAUUCACAGACUUAUCUUCGUUUCAGAUUGUUGAGUGGCUGCAUUCUGGCCUUGCCUGCUGGCAUAGACUUCAAAGACCUUGCGUUCACAAAUGCUUUCACUUUGGAAAGCCACUUCCGUUUACCAAAGCUGAUUCUGGAAGUUGUAUAGUGUCAUUCUGUACUCCGUGUACUCUUGAGCUGUACUUUGUCAAACUAGCGUUCUCACUAUGCUAGUGUUACAUCUAUAAACCUAACCCUUAAGCUACCUCAUCUUUGGUCAUGACCCCGUCUUCUUCAGUUUUUCAUUUCAAUCCCCUUUUAAAAGAAACCUUUUUAAAAGAAAGUCCAAUGCCUCUACAGCGAAAUGACCUGCAUAAGGAAGGAUUGGAUAUGUCCUGGCCAAUUUCCUAUCAUUUAUAUGUAUUGUGAAUGACCCUACAACGAAGACCAGUACAAGAAAUUUGCCUGUACAAGGAAGGAAUUCAGGCUUCCCCUAAGGCUAAUGUGUUGCUUCGCAACAAAUGCCAUGGAGCGGUGGCACCCUCAGCAGACGUCACCAAGGUGCGUUCUGCUCGACUGCUAACAGAACUACUAGCAAUGCACGUGCCCAUUAUAUAUCAGUAGGAGUCCUGCUGUACUGCUCAACUCGCAUGCUACUUAUUGGGUUGCAAUGGUUGAUGAAUAUGUCAAAGUUCAUGAUGUGAUGAUGUAAUUGCAACUGAAGACCGACAAACAUCUUCAAAGCCAUCCAAGGUGGGAACGACACGGAUUUCAACAAAGGAGAUCGUGAUGAAAGUUCUAUGUAAAUGAACCAAGAAUUCCCACAACAGAGGAGGCGAUAGCAGCAUUUGAGGGUCUGCAGCUCUAGUAUGCCUAGCUCCUGCGUUACGCCAUGCUGUGAACCUUGGUGCAACAUAAGAUUGGCUGUAGUCGCAUAUUCUGCCAGACCUCUUGUGUGCAGAAAAAUUAGCAGCCUAUUUCACCAAGUCUCUCUUGCAUUCAUGUAAAUAAAGGCUUACCUUUGUUCGACGUACUUAUAGCUUGCUCAAUUGUGAGCGGUACGGUGCACGACUUUUAGAACGAAGUCACCUGUUCAACAAAGUAUUUUGAAGGUCCCGAGUACUUCGUUAUAGAGGCGUUUAACUUUAUAGUUCUUGGUGUUAACAACAAGUGUACACAAGGGUUUUAAAUGAAAUGCCUAGCCAAAAAAUUUUCACCCAGCUUUUGCUUCUGUCGGCCUUUUCAUGUUAGCUGUACACUUGCUCUGUGGGGGAAAUUUUUAUUUAUUUUCUUACGUUUUAUUUUCAAUGCAGUUUAAUGUUAAUGUCCUUGAAUACAUUACCUAAGCAAUGGUGUUUUUAAAAGGUAUGUACACCGAGUUUCUUCCAUGGGCCCGUGGCAAGCUUGUUCAUACAACUCGGAAGGCGUGCACAUGUUUCAGCGACAAUUAUAGCACAGCAUUUAAUACAAAACAAAUAACAUCGGUGUUGUCUGAGGCUACGCAAAAAUUGCUGCCCGAAAGGUGACUGUUAUAAUGUGCACCAACGGAUGGAACUUUUACAGUCAUGGGAAACAAACCUUUGGGUUCAUGUGAUAGAGCUCUUUAAGCUUCCUUACGAGAAACGUCUUGCGAGCAACUGCAAAAGAAAGUAGGCAGGUUACAGAUAUUGCAUGUGUAACACACUGGAAGCACUUGCCU